rnacentral:rRNA from 1 species
UACGGAGGGUGCGAGCGUUAAUCGGAAUAACUGGGCGUAAAGGGCACGCAGGCGGGCUUUUAAGUGAGAUGUGAAAUCCCCGGGCUUAACCUGGGAAUAGCAUUUGAGACUGGGAGUCUAGAGUACUGUAGGGGGGGGUAGAAUUCCACGUGUAGCGGUGAAAUGCGUAGAGAUGUGGAGGAAUACCGAAGGCGAAGGCAGCCCCCUGGGAAUGUACUGACGCUCAUGUGCGAAAGCGUGGGGAGCAAACAGG